AGUGAACGCUGGCGGUAGGCCUAACACAUGCAAGUCGAACGGCAGCACAGGAGAGCUUGCUCUCUGGGUGGCGAGUGGCGGACGGGUGAGGAAUACAUCGGAAUCUGCCCAGUCGUGGGGGAUAACGUAGGGAAACUUACGCUAAUACCGCAUACGACCUUCGGGUGAAAGAGGGGGAUCGCAAGACCUCUCGCGAUUGGAUGAGCCGAUGUCGGAUUAGCUAGUUGGCGGGGUAAUGGCCCACCAAGGCGACGAUCCGUAGCUGGUCUGAGAGGAUGAUCAGCCACACUGGAACUGAGACACGGUCCAGACUCCUACGGGAGGCAGCAGUGGGGAAUAUUGGACAAUGGGCGCAAGCCUGAUCCAGCCAUACCGCGUGGGUGAAGAAGGCCUUCGGGUUGUAAAGCCUUUUUGUUGGGAAAGAAAUCUUUCAGGCUAAUACCCUGGGAGGAUGACGGUACCCAAAGAAUAAGCACCGGCUAACUUCGUG
rnacentral:rRNA from 1 species